GACGAACGCUGGCGGCAUGCCUAACACAUGCAAGUCGAACGGUAAGGCCCUUCGGGGUACACGAGUGGCGAACGGGUGAGUAACACGUGGGUGAUCUGCCCUGCACUUCGGGAUAAGCCUGGGAAACUGGGUCUAAUACCGGAUAGGACCCUGGGAUGCAUGUCCUGGGGUGGAAAGCUUUUGCGGUGUGGGAUGGGCCCGCGGCCUAUCAGCUUGUUGGUGGGGUGAUGGCCUACCAAGGCGACGACGGGUAGCCGGCCUGAGAGGGUGACCGGCCACACUGGGACUGAGAUACGGCCCAGACUCCUACGGGAGGCAGCAGUGGGGAAUAUUGCACAAUGGGCGCAAGCCUGAUGCAGCGACGCCGCGUGAGGGAUGACGGCCUUCGGGUUGUAAACCUCUUUCAGCACCGACGAAGCGCAAGUGACGGUAGGUGCAGAAGAAGGACCGGCCAACUACGUGCCAGCCGCCGCAGUAA
rnacentral:rRNA from 1 species